GUACUGGUGUACUAUCAGUCAGACCUCUGAAUGACAGCCAAUUAUUUCUUUUCAUAGGAGCAAACUGAGGAGUAGGACUGACUGCCUAAAGGCACCAGGAAAGAGCUUAAAAGAAGAAACAAUAAUUAGACUGAGCUGCGAUGUAGACAAGAAAGGCAGAUUCCCCUAAGGGAAGAGAGGAAUGUAUAAGAGAGAAAUAUACUACUUGGAAAUCGCUAACAUCUGAAGUACCCUUGUGACAUGCAGCUUACUUGUGAGAUUCCUGGCAUGGUUAUUGGGCCAUGGGGGCGAUGCAUUCAUCAGCAUCAGUCCCCUGAGCUGCGUUUCAUUAUCAGGUCCAGGGACAGAGAUGUGGCUUUGCAGAUUGAGGUGAGGUCAUGAAGUUGAGUACUUGGCAGAGUGUGGCUCUCUGGACCUCUUUCACUCUCGGACUGUCUGUUGGCCACAAAGAAGCUGCUUGAUGUGCUGGCAACUGCAGUGGGAAACCUCAGCAGCGUUAAUUUAUGUCCUGGCACUUUUGGCCUCAUUUCAGUUUUGUGUCUUAGAAGACCCUCUUGGCAUCUGGAUGAGGCUCCGUUCAGCUGCAGUUCAGAGCUGGAAAGGUACUUGCUAUGAGGAAAUCCUUGGAAAAAAUACAAAAUUAAAAACUAUUGAUUAAUUGUAAUAUCAUUCAAAUGGUAGGCUUAGGUCAGAGUGGAUGCCAGUAUUUCUCACACAAGAAUUUAAUGCAGAAAAUGAUGAUAAAAUUAUUUUACAGUGGAUUAGACUUUUUCAAUCUUUUUUUUCCUAAAAGCUCAUCCUUAAGCCAUAUAAUCAUUAGUGAUUUUCAGUAAUUGCCUCUCUUCAGAAUCUUUUUGCUACCAUAAAUAUGAGGUCCCAUAGCAUUACCUCAAUGAAUUCCUUAUAAAUGCUUCUGAGAAUCAUUUUUAAUAUAUUUCUCAACACAUCGUUUAUAUUUGUGUGUGGAUGAGCAUAUAUGCAUAGUGUGUGUGCUUAUAACUCUACAUGUGAAUACAAUUUGGUGAGUUCAGUCCUUAAUUAUAUUUGUUGAAUUAAUUAAAUAUUCUUGCUAAUAAAUAACAUAAAUAAGAUCCAAUUCGUCUGUGUUAGAGUCAAAGUUGCUUUACGGAAAAAACUAUAGGUCCAACUUUUCAAAAGUUUAUGUAGAAUAGUUAUUGAACAGGUUUACUAACUUGGUUACCUUGACUAGAAUUGGUUAUGUUUUAACAAUGCAAAUGAAGUAAUAACAAAGUAGUAAGGAACACGAUU